AACCAAACGCCGGGUUAAGGCGCCCGAUCGUCACGCUCAGCAGAACCCACAAAAGGCGUCCAUCGGUAAAGACAGCAGGACGGUGACCAUGGAAGUCGGUAUCCGCCAAGGAGUGUGUAACAACUCACCUGCCGAAUUGGUGGGCCCUGAAAAUGGAUGGCGCUGUAGCGUGCAGCCUACACCCGGCCGUCUCGGCAAUUUUCUCCGGCCUGCCGGUAGAGACUGACCGAAGCCGAGACGAGUAGGAGGGUCGCCGCGGUCAGCGCUGAAGCCUUAGACGCGAGUCUGGGUGUAGCGGCCGCGGGUGCCGAUCUUGGUGGUAGUAGCAAAUAUUCGAGCGAGAACCUCGAAGGCCGAAGUGGAGAAGGGUUCCGCGUUGCUCCUUCGAUCGGCCGCGGGUUAGUCGGUCCUAAGGCCUGGGAGAAAUCCUACGGGAAGCGGGACGUUUUUGAAAAUCAUUAAAAAUCAGUCUCACCCAAUGCACGGGCCGAAAGGGAAACGGGUUAGGAUUCCCGUACCCGAAGGCGGAGCACAAGCGGCGACGCAAAGAAGGUCGGAUACACCGUCGGGAGAGUCGAGAAGAGUUAACUUUUCUUUUUGAGGUGCGCUCGCUGACCCUGGAAGCGGUUCUGCCGGAGAUAGGGAGCGAGAGCAAUCAACUUUAUCCGCAAAGCCGGCUCCAGCGGGGGCCUGUUCGGCUACGACUCGACGGUCCUUGAAACUCCGACGGCUAAACUCUUUCUUUUUUUAUUUUGAAAUAAUGUGUUCGCUCUCGCCUCGNGCCGUACCUCAAUCCGCCGCAGGUCUCCAAGGUUCGCAGCCUCUGGUCGAUAGAACAAUGUAGGUAAGGGAAGUCGGCAAAAUGGAUCCGUAACUUCGGGAGAAGGAUUGGCUCUGAGGN
rnacentral:ncRNA from 1 species